UACGUAGGGGGCAAGCGUUGUCCGGAAUCAUUGGGCGUAAAGCGCGUGUAGGCGGCUAGGUAAGUCUGCUCUGAAAGCCCGGGGCUCAACCCCGGGAGGCGGGUGGAUACUGUCUAGCUCGAGUCCGGAAGAGGAGUGUGGAAUUCCUGGUGUAGCGGUGAAAUGCGCAGAUAUCAGGAGGAACACCGGUGGCGAAGGCGGGUCUCUGGGCCGAUACUGACGCUGGAGGAGCGAAAAGCGUGGGGGAGCGAACAGG
rnacentral:rRNA from 1 species